rnacentral:rRNA from 1 species
GACGGGGGAUGCAAGUGUUAUCCGGAAUCACUGGGCGUAAAGCGUCUGCAGGUGGUUUCCUAAGUCCACUGUUAAACCUUGAGGCUCAACCUCAAAUCUGCAUUGGAAACUAGGAGACUUGAGUAUAGUAGGGGUAGAGGGAAUUUCCAGUGGAGCGGUGAAAUGCGUAGAUAUUAUGAGGAAUACCAGAGGCGAAGGCGGCUCCCUGGACAAUAGCUGACACUCAGGCACGAAAGCGUGGGGAGCAAAAGGG